rnacentral:rRNA from 1 species
ACUCCUACGGGAGGCAGCAGUGGGGAAUUUUGGACAAUGGGCGCAAGCCUGAUCCAGCCAUGCCGCGUGAGUGAAGAAGGCCUUCGGGUUGUAAAGCUCUUUCAGACGGAAAGAAAUCUCUUGGGUUAAUACCCUGGGAGGAUGACGGUACCGUAAGAAGAAGCACCGGCUAACUACGUGCCAGCAGCCGCGGUAAUACGUAGGGUGCGAGCGUUAAUCGGAAUUACUGGGCGUAAAGCGUGCGCAGGCGGUGAUGUAAGACAGAUGUGAAAUCCCCCGGGCUCAACCUGGGGAACUGCGUUUGUGACUGCAUCACUCGAGUACGGCAGAGGAGGUGGAAUUCCGCGUGUAGCAGUGAAAUGCGUAGAUAUGCGGAGGAACACCGAUGGCGAAGGCAGCCUCCUGGGCCAGUACUGACGCUCAUGCACGAAAGCGUGGGAGCAAACAGGAUUAGAUACCCCUGGUAGGUCAGUC